ensembl:lncRNA
AUGUCUGAAUUUUUAUGUCUGAACCCGUUGUACGGAUGUACUCCACUGUGUUUAUCCAUCUGCUGGUGGACACUUGAGUUCUGUCUUUCCUGCCACUGGCUUUUGAGACCCAAGAGUGUGUUUCUCCUUGAAGAUACAGGACACAUUUUCCUUGAUCAGGAUUCAAACUCUGUCCUGGGGACAUUUCAGGUCUGGAGGAGGGAGGGGCCGGAAAGCUCUGAGGCACGGACCGUAGGAAGCAAUGCCUGGGGUUUGCUCUGUUUGGACCAACCGAUUCUUGUUCCGGCCUCUGAGCCAAUCACUCUGGCUAGCACUGAUUGGCCGAGAGGGUCACGUGUCCCGGCCUCCGCGGAAUCUGCUCAACGUCCUGUUAGGUCACGUGCUCACACCAGAACUUGGCACACGCAGGCUGAGCCUGUAUCGCGUGUUCGCCAGGCCUCCUGCUGGUCCUCCCCAAAGCAUACGGCCGAAGACGGGGGGAGGAAAAGGGGGUGUUAUAACCAGGAAAAAAGGGACCGGUAGCUGAGUAGGGGGAGACCACAGACCUCACCCCCAGAGACCCAUUGGGUCGUUUGAGAAUCAAGGACAGUCAGCUGCGGAGUGUGGAGGGCAAAGCUCGGCACCUGACGGGCACCUGGGGCUCGUCUAAGCCAGCGACCCCCACGCCCCACGGGGUCCGCGGAUGUGCCGCCCUAAGCCUGCCGCUUCGGUUCCCCCUUUUCGGGGCUUUCUUUUUUCUUCCGCUAGAUUUUUGCAUUUUUCUGAAGUCUCGGACUUUGUUUUUUUUAUACAUAUACAGAAAAGAAAAUGGGGAAAAAAAUUUUUUUAAGCUGCAAGCCAGAGCUGCCUGUGCCUGCUGCCUUCCCCGACCCUCGCAUCAGCUUUGCGAGAGUGUGCUCGCUCCCCAGACGGCAGAGGCAGCCAUCGGGUCGGGGGCCAGGCCUCGGCAGCGCAGGCAGGCGACGGUGAUGGGGGAGCAGCCGGCCCCAUUAAGUCAGCACAACCCGCCCGGGCGUGGGCGAGCAGAGUCCUCCGAUUUGGCCCUGGUCAAGGGAACCGUGCAAGCAGCCGGCUAAAUUCUACGGCCUCGUGGCUCAAACACAGGCUCAUCACAGGCUCUCCUAAGGUCUAGCUGGGGCUUCCUGGCAUUAUGCUUUCAUCCGGGACACGCUUAUUGAGUACUUGCUACCUGCCAGGCACCGUCCUAGGCACGGGGGACGCUGCGGUGAACGGAGAAGCCCAAACCCCUGGCUUGGCGGAGCGCACGUUCUAGCAGAGAUAACUAAUUGUAAAGGUAACGAUUAGGUGAGUUGGAUGGUGUGUUAGGAGAUAGUAAAUGCUAUUUAAAACUAGAUGAAGGUAAUAGGGACCUGGAGAAUGGGAGCGGGGUGGGGGUGGGGUCUUAAGGGGGUGGGCCAGGGUGGACCUCCUUGAAAAGGUGAAGCGCCAUCAGAGAUUUGAAGGAGAAGGGAAACGAGCCGUUGGAUGUCCCAGAGACCAGGGUCCACCAGUGAGGACAGCCAGCGCAAAGGGCCUGCGGUCACGCAUGCCUCGUGUGUUCCAGCAGCAAGGAGACCAGGCGCAGAUGGGGCUUGGGCAAAGAGGACAGAGGUUGGAAGUGGGGUCCUGCCCGCCCUUGUAAGAACUUCCCUCUGUGAGGUGAGCCUUCAGAGGGUUUGGACAGAAAAGGGAGGGGAAGAGGCAGGGCCCCACCUGGUGCUUUCCCUCUGGCUGCCUGCUGAGAUUAGAUUGCAGGGACCGAGGUGGACUUGGGAAAUGCAAAUGCAGCUGAGGAGGCCGGCUGGGAACUGGGUGGGAGCAGAGCAGGGUGGAUUCUGGAUACAUUUGGAAGGACAGAUUAGGCAGGGGGUGUGAGCAAGGAAAGGAAGUCAGGCAGGUCUCCGGGGAUGGGGCCUGAGUGUGGAGUGGCUGGAGCGGCUGUUACCUAGGUGGAGACAUCCUUCAGCAGGGCUCGGGGUGGUGCAGGGAGGUGCUGGGAACUCAGUUUGGGGCUGGAAAAUUUCAGACACCCAAGUGAAAAUGUCAAAAAGGCGAUUGUGCGUGUGGGUCUGCAGGUGUCAGAGGGAUGCGUUCGGGGGUCAUUGAGGGAGUGCAGCGGAGGGAGAGGUCCAAAGCCCAAGCCCUGGGGCCUGGUUAGGACUUAGGGAGUGAUAGAGAAACCUGCCUGCAGGGUAGGAAGACAGUCCAGGAAGCCAGGGGGAGAAAUUCUCCCAGGGGCUUGGACUGAGCUCACAGAGCUCCAGCGGCGUCUGGAGGGGCCGAGUUUUGAGUUUUGGAGAGGAAGGGAGCCCAGGAAGGUCGUGCCGCACAGCCGAGCAGGCAGAUGGGCCACUGGAGCAGGGGGUGGGGUGGGGAGAGCUUUCUCGGCUGCAGCAAUGCCGGCACCUCCCUGCGUCUACACCGCGGGAGUAGAAAGAAAGGGCGCAUUCCUGAUGCAAGUCGUGCCUUCGCCGCUCACAUCCCCGGGGGCUUUUACCAAAUUCAGAAGGAAUCCAGGCGGCCCACAAGCUACCAACGGCCACCCCCAGACAGAUGUCACCACUUUCCCGCCCGUGACUCCUUCAGGCUGAUGCAGGGCCUGGCAACCCGUUCCUGCCCCCUCCCUCCCCCUCCCUGGCUGAAUAAGUUAGGCACUAUUCUAAGUUCAAACUAAAUAAAGCAGUUUAGAGUGACUAAUUCUUUGUGAAA